AUGCCGUGGUGUGGUCAUGCUUGGAUGUACUCCUGGAGACGUUCCCAGACUUCUGGGAUGGUCUCAUCCGGUAAUUGCUGAAUUCUAGUGAUCCUGUUCCGGAGGGC